rnacentral:rRNA from 1 species
CUUUCCCUUCUGCGUUUCUUCCCCACCACUCGUUCUUAAUCUCUCGCAGUGGCAUGGCCGCCACAAGCUACUGCUUUGCUUCCACCAGGUCCUCCUCCUCUACCCAGCUCCUCGCUACAGAGUACAGACCAACCGGCAAGGCUGACUGCAGUGCGUUACUUCGCCAGGGCCUCCUCCUCUACCCAGCUCCUCAUUGUUGACUCGCCGUCAAAGCUGUGCGGGCGCUGCUGGUGGUUCAGGUGCUGCGCGGCAGGAGCGGGGAGAGGUGGUGUUGCGCGCCUCGGGGACGGCGCGGCCGACCGCCAAAGGAAAUCGCGAGCGGCAGGCAGCGCCAAGAUCAACUACCCUGGGGGCGGAUUCUUGUAGCUUUUUGGAUCGCCGGUAGUAGCUUUCUACUUAGCCGGUUGCAUCUUUUUAAAUUGCUUUGUUCCAGUUUUUUCUCAAAUCCCUGGUUUUUGCAUCUUUGUAAAUCACCGGUUCCAGCUCCCAAAAUCACCAAUUGUAGCUUUUUGAUUAGACGGUUGUAUCAUUUUGGAUCGCAGUACCGGUUUCCAAUCACCGUUGUAGCUUUUUGAUCAGCGAUUGCAACUUGUCUAAUCGCCGGCUCCAGCUUUUUUGGAUCGCGGUUCUAGCUCCCAUUCAUUUGCAUCUUUUUUUGACCACUGGUGCCGGAAUCAGCAUGGCGACCAGCUAGAAGGGGCACCCGGUUUUGCUGGAACCAGCUCCCAGUUUUGCUGGAACCGGCUCC